UACGUAGGGGGGCGAGCGUUGUCCGGAAUCAUUGGGCGUAAAGCGCGUGUAGGCGGCCCGGUAAGUCCGCUGUGAAAGUCCAGGGCUCAACCCUGGGAUGCCGGUGGAUACUGUCGGGCUAGAGUCCGGAAGAGGAGAGUGGAAUUCCUGGUGUAGCGGUGAAAUGCGCAGAUAUCAGGAAGAACACCCGUGGCGAAGGCGGCUCUCUGGGACGGUACUGACGCUGAGACGCGAAAGCGUGGGGAGCAAACAGG
rnacentral:rRNA from 1 species